UUAAAAAUCAGUGUCACUUUAAGGCUCAAUAUUUUUUAUUUCUGAGCAGGUAAGUAGAGGCAGACAAGAAAGAAUAGGGAGCUGAGGCAAUUAAAAAAAGCAGAAUGCAAGAAAACUUUUUUUAAAAAUGGUAUUUUUUCUAGCACUGAUUUAUAAGAAUAGGAGAUAUGAAUUCUCAUUAUCCAAAACUAUAAGUGAUUUCAUAAAGUCACUUAUAACCUGACUCAAAUCUCAUGGGCUCCUUUAUUAACCUAAAUUAUUUUUGCCUUGUUAAAUAUACCUCUGCAGGGCACAAUCACAUACAAUCAAUACGAUUGGUAAAUUACACAAGCUCUAUCCCAAGCAAAUAUGCAUCAAUGUUAAAAAGUUAUUUUCUUAAAAAACAAACAAAAUAAAACAAAAUAAAAUCCACCCAAAAAGGUGAUAAUGACUGCAGAAUGUCUCCGGGAGACUGGUAUGAGCCUAAAGACCAAACUGACCGUAGUCAGGGGAAAAAGGUGGCAGGGGAACAAGGGGAGAAGACCACACACGAAGAGGAAUCUCACAACUGGAAAAUGUUUAAGUGGGUGAAAGGUUUUGUUCAUUACCUUAAUUUAUUUUUUCCAUUGCUUUUGUUCCAGAGGCACAGAUUCAUCAUAAAUAAGAUAAUGAGGCCCAUAAACUAAAAAAUAAAGUGAAAAAAAAUUUUUUUUCUCAAGUUCCUCUCAUUCCCAGAAGGUGGGAAGAGGAGAAAGGAUAAAAGGGGGAGAAACAUGAAAAUUUAUACAAUAAAUCUGGAAAAAAUAACUCUCAGGACAGUGUUUUUGUUGAACAGAGGAUGUAAAACUGAUAAGCAAAAGCUUUAAAUGCCUUUAAAUCAGAGGAAUAUUUUACAGGGUGGUUCAGAUAUUAUUGUGAGAAUGGUAGCCACUCAAUGGAGAGCGAUUACACUAAUAAAAUGGGGAUUUAAAAAAAUCAGCCCCCCC